UUGCUUCAGUAGCACAUAUACUAAAAUUGAAAUGAUACAGAGAUUAGAAUGGCUCCUUCACAAGGAUGAGUGAGACAUAAAUUCAUGAAGUAGUCCAUGUUAAA